UUCAUGUUUUGUUAUAUAUAUAUACACAUGUAUACACAUAUAUAUUAGAUCACUAUUGUAGAUGAUAGGCUUUAUAUAUAUGAUUAAUAAAUAAAUUCACAUAUAGGAAAAAAAAAGUUAACACAACAUUAUGCAAUUUCCCAGAGCUCUGAAUAACUGCUUGGAGCAAGCCUUGCCAAUAGAAAUCUCAGCAGGGAAUUAGCAGGUGCUGCCUCUACAGAUGGUUUGAGAAGCCAAGGCUUUGGUCUGGGGCAAUGAGAAAAGAGAGAUUUGGGGCUUCUCACUAUUCCUGAAUAACUGUGAAUUUGGAAUGAUACUUUUAGCCACCAUAUAACCUGGGAGGGUUGGCAGCCUAGAAACACUUGUGUAUAGUUACAGGGUAGGAAUGGGUAGAGAAGAGAGGUUGGUGUCAAUGUGGAGGCCUCUAGUAAACUGAGCUUUUGAUUUCCACACUGGACAACGAGGGCCACAUAAGCGAUAUUCUUCUAAUACAAUCAAUGAAUUUUCAGAGUUCCCUUAAAAAUCGUUUCCAUUGUAAAUUUGACUUGACCUUGUUUCCUCAUGACUGCCACCACUAAACCUCAAUUGUCUUUACUUCUUUCUGGGUAGGGAGCUUUAGUUUCAUACAGUUAGUUUUUCACUGUAUUCCUUCUAGUGAAUAUUGUAAAAGUUUUAUUUCUCUUCUACAGAAUAGAAUAUGCUUGCUUCAAUGUCCUUGGCCGCAAAACUUAGUCCCACCAGCCUGACUUCUUUUUCCUGAUUAGGACUCCACAGAAGAUAUAAACAGGGACUCUGCCAAGUGAUAUUGUUGCAGAAAAAUAACAUAUGGCCCUGGAGAGGCAUCCAUAGCAUAAUAGAUUGCAAUGUGUGGGGAGGAAGAAAGACACAUCCAUUAGUGACAACAUAAGUGUGGUAAGUUACCCAACAGACUAUUUUCUGUUGCUCAUGAAACUUUCCUACUUGAACCUGUCUGUGAUGUUGCUGAAAUGAC
rnacentral:lncRNA from 1 species